rnacentral:rRNA from 1 species
UACGAAGGGGGCGAGCGUUGGUCGGAAUCACUGGGCGUAAAGGGUGCGUAGGCGGGUCUUUAAGUCAGGGGUGAAAUCCUGGAGCUCAACUCCAGAACUGCCUUUGAUACUGAAGAUCUUGAGUUCGGGAGAGGUGAGUGGAACUGCGAGUGUAGAGGUGAAAUUCGUAGAUAUUCGCAAGAACACCAGUGGCGAAGGCGGCUCACUGGCCCGGUACUGACGCUGAGGCACGAAAGCGUGGGGAGCAAACAGG